rnacentral:rRNA from 1 species
GACGAACGCUGGCGGCGUGCUUAACACAUGCAAGUCAAGGGGGCCCAGCAAUGGGCAACCGGCGAACGGGUGCGUAACACGUGAGCAACCUACCGAACUGUGGGGGAUAGCCGGCCUAACGGCCGAGUAAUACCGCAUACGCUUUCAGUGAGGCAUUUCAUUGAAAGGAAACCUACGGGACAGAUCGAGGGGCUCGCGGCCUAUCAGCUAGUUGGCGAGGUAACGGCUCACCAAGGCAACGACGGGUAGCUGGUCUGAGAGGAUGGCCAGCCACAUUGGGACUGAGAGACGGCCCAGACUCCUACGGGAGGCAGCAGUGGGGAAUCUUGCGCAAUGGCCGAAAGGCUGACGCAGCGACGCCGCGUGGGGGAGGAA